rnacentral:rRNA from 1 species
UACGUAGGGGGCGAGCGUUGUCCUGAGUUACUGGGCGUAAAGCGCACGCAGGCGGUCUGCUAAGUUUGGAGUGACAGUUGGUGGCUUAACUGCCAAAGUGCUUCGAAAACUGACAGACUUGAGGGCUUCAGAGGGACACGGAAUUCCGGGUGGAGUGGUGAAAUGCGUAGAGAUCCGGAGGAACACCAAAGGCGAAGGCAGUGUCCUGGGGAGUACCUGACGCUCAGGUGCGAAAGCCAGGGGAGCGAACGGG